UAAUUUGUUAUUUAGUCUAUAUGCAAAGAGAAUUGUUUUAUAUGCCUUUUAGGUUUUACUUUAGAAGAGCAGAAAUUUAUAUAACUGAAGAACAGGACAUGGAACAGGAACUUAAGUAUAUAUACAAGGUAGGAUAUGAGCAUGGUUAUUCUAAGCACUUUUUAACAAACAUACACCAUAAAGUAAAGACAAUGUUACAAAAUGGGAACACUAAUCGUAAUAAUCAAUUAUGUAGGGGAUCAAUCAUGUUAUCCAAAUAAUCUAAAUAAUCCAAACAGCACAAACUCCCCUAGUGGUCAAGUUUUGUAGUAACUGCC
rnacentral:lncRNA from 1 species